AUUGAACGCUGGCGGCAUGCUUUACACAUGCAAGUCGAACGGUAACAGGCCUUCGGGUGCUGACGAGUGGCGAACGGGUGAGUAAUGCAUCGGAACGUGCCCAGAGGUGGGGGAUAACGCAGCGAAAGCUGUGCUAAUACCGCAUGGGAUCUGAGGAUGAAAGCGGGGGACCAGGCAGCAAUGUUUGGCCUCGCGCCUUUGGAGCGGCCGAUGUCAGAUUAGGUAGUUGGUGGGUAAAGGCCUACCAAGCCGACGAUCUGUAGCUGGUCUGAGAGGACGAGCAGCCACACUGGGACUGAGACACGGCCCAGACUCCUACGGGAGGCAGCAGUGGGGAAUUUUGGACAAUGGGCGCAAGCCUGAUCCAGCAAUGCCGCGUGCGGGAAGAAGGCCUUCGGGUUGUAAACCGCUUUUGUACGGAACGAAAAGGCUCUGGCUAAUACCUGGGGCUGAUGACGGUACCGUAAGAAUAAGCACCGGCUAACUACGUG
rnacentral:rRNA from 1 species